UACGUAGGGGGCAAGCGUUGUCCGGAAUCAUUGGGCGUAAAGCGUGUGUAGGCGGACUUCUAAGUGCCUUGUGAAAUCCCACGGCUCAACCGUGGAACUGCUGGGCAUACUGGGAGUCUUGGGCCAUUCAGGGGCAACUGGAACAAGCGGUGGAGCGGUGAAAUGCGUAGAUAUCAGGAGGAACACCGGUGGCGAAGGCGGGUCUCUGGGCCGAUACUGACGCUGAGGAGCGAAAGCGUGGGGAGCAAACAGG
rnacentral:rRNA from 1 species